UGGGGUAUAGCCAAGUGGUAAGGCACCGGAUUCUGAUUCCGACAUUCCCAGGUUCAAAUCCUGGUACCCCAGCCA
rnacentral:tRNA from 3 species